rnacentral:rRNA from 1 species
UACGUAGAAGACUAGUGUUAUUCAUCUUUAAUAGGUUUAAAGGGUACCUAGACGGUAUAAUUAGUCUUUAAUAGGAAACGGUUAUACUAGAGUUAUAUAUGAGAAGGUGAGUAUUUGUGGAGUAGAGUUGAAAUUCUUUGAUACCAUGACGACUGGUAAAGGCGAAAGCAACCUUUUAUCUAAUAACUGACGUUGAGGGACGAAGGCUCGGGUCGCGAACAGG